GAUGAAGAACGUAGCGAAAUGUGAUACUUGGUGUGAAUUGCAGAAUCCCGUGAACCAUCGAGUCUUUGAACGCAAGUUGCGCCCGAAGCCAUUAGGCCGAGGGCACGCCUGCCUGGGCGUCACACGUCGUUGCCCCCCCAUCUACUCCUUCGGGAUUGCGGGGGGCGGAUGAUGGCCUCCCGUGCGCCUCGUCGCGCGGUUGGCCUAAAUGCCAAGUCCUCGGCGACGCACGCCACGACAAUCGGUGGUUGCGAAACCUCGGUUGCCUGUCGUGUGCGGUCGUCGCGCAUCGAGGGCUCGAAAAAAUUGCCGGGCUUCGGCUCGACUUUCAACGCGACCCCAGGUCAGGCGGGGUUACCCGCUGAAUUUAAGCAUAUCAAUAAGCGGAGGA
rnacentral:misc_RNA from 1 species